AGGUGUGGGCGGGACGAGGAGAAGCCGGCUGGACGGCUAGCGUGCGAGAGAGCCAGAAACCAGUUGGAGCCGAAGUCCUGUCAUUGUAGGAGGAUUCUUCAGCCACUAUGUCAACCGGCACAGAUGUUUCUCUUUCUUCAUAUGAUGAAGAUCAAGGAUCUAAACUUAUCCGAAAAGCUAGAGAAGCACCGUUUGUUCCCAUUGGAAUGGCGGGGUUUGCAGCAAUCGUUGCAUAUGGAUUAUAUAAAUUGAAGAGCAGGGGGAAUACUAAAAUGUCUGUUCACCUGAUCCACAUGCGUGUGGCAGCCCAAGGCUUUGUUGUGGGAGCAAUGACUCUUGGUAUGGGCUAUUCCAUGUAUAAGGAAUUCUGGGCAAAGCCUAAACCUUAGAAGAAGAGAAGCUAUCUUGGUUUGGUUGGUGGUGCUUGCUUUAGCUAGGCAUCUUAUACUGAAUUUAUAUGUUUAUGUUGAAAAUAAAUCAUUUGAAUGGGUCACACAAUAACACAGUAAUUUAAAUAUUGGCUUCCUUUCUUGCAGGCUUGAUUUGCCUGGUAACCAAAUUACUAGUGACUAGUAGUUAACUAGCUAGGUCAUUCAGCAGAGUCAAAUUAGAACAAAAGAAACAUGUCACUUUUAAAUGUACUUGAUAGUGGUAAAAUAUGCUCCUUCUUAAACUCUUCUGAUAAAAAUCAGUUAAAAAGAGGACAAUUUGCCAAUCCUGAGUACUCCCAGUUGCUGCAGAAUAUCACAUGCUUUUGAUGUUAUGUAGGAAUCCCAUUUAAUUUUUUUCUGCCUGUUUUGCAGACUGAUUGAGUACUUCAGUUUUUAGGGCUGGUUGGCUCUUAACCCUUUGAGAACAGUGCAUGGAAUAUAAUAUAAUAAGCUUCCCCACAACCGAAAAUACGUGUAUUUAAACCAAACCUAAAAAAGCCGAUAACAGCUGCUUAGAAGUAGUAUUUAUUUCAGAAUCAUACUUGUAAACAUGAGAAUAACUUAACUGUGGAUCCCAGUUUAGCUUUUUUUUGUAAUUGCAGAGUUAUAUUUAUGCUGCUGUUGUAUUAGAAUAACUUUUAAAUGUUAUCUUAAAAUAGAAAUGUGUAUUUUAAGUACUAAUGCAAAGGUUAGAUAAAAACACUUUUUAAAUGUAUGAAGUUUAUUUUCUCUGUAAGAAUCAUAAAUGUUAACAAAUUACUUAUAAUUGAAGUGAUUAAUGAUUUAUCAGCAAGGUGGUUUGGUCAGACAUUAUACACAAACUUUGGUAUACUCCAGAAUGCUUUAUUACACUUGUGAAAUUUUCUUGUCUAACCUGAAUUUACAUUCCAUGGUGAUAACAUGGUAAAUGUAGUAUUAGUAAAGUCAGUGAACACAUUAAUUGCCUUGUAUUUAUUUCAUUUUGGAAAAAAUCAAUCAUUCCUCAAAGU